rnacentral:lncRNA from 1 species
CACAAGUUUAAUGAAUGAAAUAUUUUAUUUUACAACAAAGAACACACAGGAUACAUACAGCAAAGCUUUAAUCAUGAUAAGUACAUGUAGUAUAUGAAUAAACACUAUUACAGAUAUUGCAAAAUAUGAGGUAUUUUACACGUACUUUUGUCCUUUUUGAUAAAAUUGAUUCUUUGUAUAUCAGUUGUAGAUUAUUUAUAAGAAUUAUAUACACUUAAUAUUUCUA